UACAGAGGGUGCAAGCGUUAAUCGGAAUUACUGGGCGUAAAGAGCGCGCAGGCGGUCGAUCAAGUCGAGUGUGAAAGCCCCCGGCUCAACUGGGGAGGGUCAUUCGAUACUGAUCGACUCGAAGGCAGGAGAGGGUAGUGGAAUUCCCGGUGUAGUGGUGAAAUGCGUAGAUAUCGGGAGGAACACCAGUGGCGAAGGCGGCUACCUGGACCGGUUCUGACGCUGAUGCGCGAAAGCGUGGGUAGCAAACAGG
rnacentral:rRNA from 1 species